rnacentral:rRNA from 1 species
CCUACGGGUGGCUGCAGUGGGGAAUAUUGCACAAUGGGCGCAAGCCUGAUGCAGCCAUGCCGCGUGUGUGAAGAAGGCCUUCGGGUUGUAAAGCACUUUCAGCGGGGAGGAAGGCGUUAAGGUUAAUAACCUUGUCGAUUGACGUUACCCGCAGAAGAAGCACCGGCUAACUCCGUGCCAGCAGCCGCGGUAAUACGGAGGGUGCAAGCGUUAAUCGGAAUUACUGGGCGUAAAGCGCACGCAGGCGGUCUGUCAAGUCGGAUGUGAAAUCCCCGGGCUCAACCUGGGAACUGCAUUCGAAACUGGCAGGCUAGAGUCUUGUAGAGGAGGGUAGAAUUCCAGGUGUAGCGGUGAAAUGCGUAGAGAUCUGGAGGAAUACCGGUGGCGAAGGCGGCCCCCUGGACAAAGACUGACGCUCAGGCGCGAAAGCGUGGGGAGCAAACAGGAUUAGAUACCCGUGUAGUC